GCCUGGGUGGCUCAGUCAAUUAAGCGUCCGACUUCGGCUUGGGUCAUGAUCUCAGUUUGUGGGUUCGAGUCCCACAUCGGGCU
rnacentral:tRNA from 1 species